UACGAAGGGGGCUAGCGUUGUUCGGAGUUACUGGGCGUAAAGCGCGCGCAGGCGGCGGUGUUGGCCCGGCGUGAAAGCCCCCGGCUCAACCGGGGAGAGUCGUCGGGGACCGCACCGCUUGAGGGCGGUAGGGGCUGGUGGAAUGCCUGGUGUAGUGGUGAAAUGCGUAGAGAUCAGGCAGAACACCUGGGGCGAAGGCGGCCAGCUGGGCCGUCCCUGACGCUGAGGCGCGAAGGCGUGGGGAGCGAACGGG
rnacentral:rRNA from 1 species